UACGUAGGGUGCAAGCGUUGUCCGGAAUUAUUGGGCGUAAAGAGCUCGUAGGCGGUCUGUCACGUCGGGUGUGAAAGCCCGGGGCUUAACCCCGGGUCUGCAUUCGAUACGGGCUAGCUAGAGUGUGGUAGGGGAGAUCGGAAUUCCUGGUGUAGCGGUGAAAUGCGUAGAUAUCGAGAGGAACACCAGUGGCGAAGGCGAGUCCCUGGACAAAACCUGACACUGAGGCACGAAAGCUAGGGGAGCAAACAGG
rnacentral:rRNA from 1 species